GAUCCAUUGUUACCUUACAAUCCAGUAUCUAUUUAAUUCGCAUUCUCUUACUCUUAAGUUAUUAAUUUUUCGAUAGGACUGAAAAUUAUGAACGUGUUGAAGGAUAUCGUGAAAAUUGCGAAUCAAAUUCGUGGCAAAGAGAAUAUCUUCGGAUACAGAUCGACUAUCGCGAAUCAGUUCUACUUGGUGUAUUGUUUCUUGGGAGAAAUAUACUUCUGCACUGCGUUUCACUGGCACACUAAACUGCUUUGGUUUUCGUGGCAAAUGGCUGGACUUCUGACAAAUUGUAUUCAACCAGUAUCAUAUAUAUUUUUCGGUGGUAACAAAGGUGCAACUGCCUUCAUAUACACGAUAUUUAUAAUUAUUGCAAUUAUCUUUGUCUUCAUUCAACUACCAUACAUUACAUUGAUUCGCUGGCGCAAUGAUGUACUCGAUGUGAUCCAAACAGCGGAUCUUAUUAUUGUGAAAAGGGAACUGGAUGACCAUAAAGCGGAAAACGAAUUUAAUUUGGGAAAAUGGAUCAAGCACAUUUCUCUAUACAACUUCUUAACUCUUUCAAUUUUUUUUUUUUGGUUGUUACGUGAGUGUAUUGUUUUUUUAUGAAGAGGAAAAAGUUAAAAACCUUACUUACUACAUCAUUCAGCCGCCAAAAAUCGAGCAAUACGGAUCGUUGUCAUUUUUCCUGAUUUAUAGCAGUGUAGUAAAUUUCACUAUUUCUCCUCUUCUCUUAUGCGUUCCCAUAAUUUCACUAAUUUUUGCAUAUUGCGGCAUUGUAUUUCACAAUGAAAUACAAAAAAUUAUCGCAGACCUAAAUUUGCUUAGUUCAGAUUCCAUGACAAUUGAAUCUUAUCAAAGUGUUCAACCAAAAUUCAAAAACACUAUCCACAAAUGUGUGAAAUAUUACCAACGCGCUACCCAAAUGAUUGAUGGUUUCCGCGGAUUUUAUCAAACAUUAGCAGCUUUUAUAUUGCCACGCACACUUUAUACUGAGAUCACUCAUGCUUUUCUCUUUGUAUCACCCGAUAUCUCAUUCAUGGUGAGAGUAAGAGAACUAUCCGUGUUUCUCGUCGCAAUUCAAUUGGUAUUUAUGUUGUGUUGGAUGGGAGACAUGCUUGAUGACUCGGUAGAGGCGUUGAGUUUUGCUGUAUAUUCUACACCUUGGUAUUGGUCCACAUCACUUCGCAAAGAUGUCUACAUACUCCUGUGUCAAACUCAAAAAUUAAUCUCUUCUAGCGCGCUCGGGGCUUAUCCUCUUUGCUUGGCAACGUUCUUACGUUUCAUGAAUACUGUACACUCGUCCGUCAAUAUUCUACGAACGAUUACUUCAAAAUAAAAUGAACUGAUGAAGUAAUCGUGGAUUUAGUAGCUUAAAAAUUGUAAUUACUUGCAAAAUGCGAAUUUCAUCAGGAAAACUUGAAAGACUUCAAAACAAAAGAGUCUAAAACCUAAAGUGAAUGCACAAUUGCACAUUGAUUAAUGAUAAUAAAUUAAUAAUUGGUAACUUGUUUCUACAAUACUUAAGAACACUCUAAGGAACGCAUUAAUUUAUAUGUAUUAUGAAUGGUCAAAUGAGCACUUUCUAAUUUAACAUAGUCAAAUAAUCUUGAUAUUUUUUCUAUCAUAUUUUCGAGUGUCACCAAUGCUAGUGUAAGGUUAGGUAGCAGGAUGCAAAAUUAUGCGUAGGUAUAGGUGAACAUUAUGUGUUGCAGCAAUAUUAGGUACGAGAAUAAUAAUAAUACAUAUUUUAUAAAGACAAAA